CAGAGGGUAGUUUAAAAAAAAUAUUAAUUUUGGGGAUUAAAGACAAAAUGAUUUCCUCUGAAG
rnacentral:tRNA from 1 species